rfam:Vibrio panuliri strain CAIM 703 CAIM703_8, whole genome shotgun sequence.
UAUCACCAAGGAUUAUCUUUCUCACAAAAUUUUUCCUGUGAGGAAAGAAAGGAAUCAAACCUGAACAACCUCGGUCAGGUGCGAAUUAAAACUAUAAAAGGAAGUG